rnacentral:misc_RNA from 1 species
UAGAGUACGUUUUUUAACGCUCGUAACCCUUUGUGAACCAUUAUAACUCGUUGCUUCGGCGGCGCGUCCCCCCCGGGGCCGUGCCCGCCGGUGACUUCAGAAUCUCUGUUCGAACCCGACGUUACUUCUGAGUGUUCUUAAGCGAACUAUUA